rnacentral:rRNA from 1 species
CCUACGGGUGGCUGCAGUAAGGAAUAUUGGACAAUGGGCGGAAGCCUGAUCCAGCCAUGCCGCGUGAAGGAUGAAGGCGCUCAGCGUUGUAAACUUCUUUUGGAUGGGGACAAUAACCUUCAUUUAUGAGGGCUUGAGGGUACCAUCAGAAUAAGCACCGGCUAACUCCGUGCCAGCAGCCGCGGUAAUACGGAGGGUGCAAGCGUUAUCCGGAAUCACUGGGUUUAAAGGGUGCGUAGGCUGUUAGAUAAGUCAGUUGUGAAAUUCCCCGGCUU